rnacentral:rRNA from 1 species
GAUGAACGCUGGCGGCGUGCCCAAUACAUGCAAGUCGAGCGAAUGGAUUAAGAGCUUGCUCUUAUGAAGUUAGCGGCGGACGGGUGAGUAACACGUGGGUAACCUGCCCAUAAGACUGGGAUAACUCCGGGAAACCGGGGCUAAUACCGGAUAACAUUUUGAACCGCAUGGUUCGAAAUUGAAAGGCGGCUUCGGCUGUCACUUAUGGAUGGACCCGCGUCGCAUUAGCUAGUUGGUGAGGUAACGGCUCACCAAGGCAACGAUGCGUAGCCGACCUGGGAGGGUGAUCGGCGACACUGGGACUGGGACACGGCCCAGACUCCUACGGGAGGCAGCAGUAGGGAAUCUUCCGCAAUGGACGAAAGUCUGACGGAGCAACGCCGCGUGAGUGAUGAAGGCUUUCGGGUCGUAAAACUCUGUUGUUAGGGAAGAACAAGUGCUAGUUGAAUAAGCUGGCACCUUGACGGUACCUACCCAGAAAGCCACGGCUAACUACGUGCCAGCCGCCGCAGUAA